GGAAUUCUCCUCAUCUUCACUGUUGCUGGGUCACUUUACAUAUUAAAGAGCUACAAGGAACACCCUCCUUGUAGAGAUGACAAAAAUGAAGUUGUAGAGCAGAGAUCAGGGGAGAGUGAUGGAGUGAUUUUGGAUGAAGAUGCUGCAUCUGCAUCACUCUACACAACUCUACAAUGCAGAUCAGACUCUAUUUAUGAUACACUGCAUUCAGACACGAUGCAUGUAGAAAACACAAAGACGACAAAAUCAGAAAAGCACUGCAAUGCACAAGAAGAUGGUGUAUUUGAUUCUGUUUAUGAAAACCUGUGAAUGAAGGAAUGAUUGAGUUAAUGAAUGUGAUUUAUGAAUACCUGCUGGAAUGUGCUUAAGUGUCAAAUAAAGAUUUUUUUGUAUAAUUUAUUAUUUUAUGGGCCAGUAUGACAGAAAAUAAAUAAAAGAUCAAAACAACUGAAUAUGUGUCGUUUUUCUCCAAAACUCAU
rnacentral:lncRNA from 1 species